UACGUAGGGGGCGAGCGUUGUCCGGAGUUACUGGGCGUAAAGGGCAUGCAGGCGGUCGGACGCGUUUUGUGUGACAGCGGGUGGCUUAACUACCCGAGCAUAUGAAAGACGGUUGGACUUGAGGGCUCGAGAGGGACACGGAAUUCCGGGUGGAGUGGUGAAAUGCGUAGAGAUCCGGAGGAACACCGAAGGCGAAGGCAGUGUCCUGGAGAGUGACUGACGCUGAGGUGCGAAAGCCAGGGGAGCGAACGGG
rnacentral:rRNA from 1 species